rnacentral:tRNA from 1 species
GAGGGUAUAGCUCAGUGGUAGAGCACAUGCCUAGCAUGCACAAGGUCCUGGGCUCAAUUCCCAGGACCUCCU